GACGAACGCUGGCGGCGUGCUUAACACAUGCAAGUCGAGCGGUAAGGCCCUUUCGGGGGUACACGAGCGGCGAACGGGUGAGUAACACGUGGGUGACCUGCCUUUAGCUCUGGGAUAAGCCUGGGAAACUGGGUCUAAUACCGGAUACGACUCCGCGGUGCAUGCUGUGGGGUGGAAAGCCUUGUGCGGCUGGAGAUGGGCCCGCGGCCUAUCAGCUUGUUGGUGGGGUGAUGGCCUACCAAGGCGACGACGGGUAGCCGGCCUGAGAGGGCGACCGGCCACACUGGGACUGAGACACGGCCCAGACUCCUACGGGAGGCAGCAGUGGGGAAUCUUGCGCAAUGGGCGAAAGCCUGACGCAGCGACGCCGCGUGAGGGAUGACGGCCU
rnacentral:rRNA from 1 species